GCAAGGUAACAGAAACGUAGCCCAGACCUAAAUCCAGAUUUGGAACUUGCGAAAGACACACUAGGAUGGAAAUGAUCAAACAUCAGACCACAAGGGAAUAACUGAAAGCUGCCAGAGAUUCUGGACUGGAUUUUGAGGAGCUUUUAUUCUUCUGCUUAUCUGGGAACCAAUUUGUACAAUGAUGUGGCUGUCUAAAGUUCAAGAUUUCACUGCAGUCCAUUAAGGCUGAGCUUUGGGGCGGGGCCUUCUUCUAACAGCCCUUCCAAAAUGGACUUCACUCAUUUGCAACUCAAGUCUCCCAUCCUAAGUGAGGUCAGAAAUAACCAAAGCUGAUUGAAACAAUCCUUUCUGAUUGCCAGGGACAGAUGCUUUGAGACUUAAGGGAUACUCUGAGAGAAACAAGAGAGCUUUUUCAUUGGACUUUGGAGCCCAGAAGACCUGUGUUCAAGUCCCACCUCCUAAACUCACUAGCAGUGUCAUCCUAGGCAAGUUUCUUCACUUCUUUGAGCCUCUUCUGUUGAAUGGGUUGGUUUCAGUAGCUUCUAAGCUUCCUUCAUCUCCAAGUCUGUGCUCCUGUGCUCCUUUGAGGCCAGUGUCUGAGGGAAGAAGGACAUGGAGAUUUGUAGUGUCCAUAUGUAAACCUAAUAUUGGUGUCUGGGGUUCUCUUAGAGCUGGAGGUUGUCAGAGAUAAACAUUCCUUGGUCAAGUUUGGGAGAAAUUGUGGUCAACUAAGGUUAGAACCAAAGGAAUAGCUUGAGGAGGUCAUUGGUUUUUACCUCUGGUGUAGAGGGAGAUUUGGGAGCUUGGAGGGCUUGGAGUCCCCCAAGGGCAUUCCCCUUUGUCAUAUCCAAAGGUGCCCUAUACUGCACUGCCAAGUUUCCAGGGGAUGGUUAUAUUGGGGAGGCACCAUGGUAAUAGAAAGGACAUAUGCUUGGGGUCAGAGGACCUAGGGUCAAAGCCCACCACAUUUACUGACUUUGUAACCAAUGUUGACUGGGAAAAACACAGAACUAAUAAAUAGUCAAAAAUCACUCUUUAAUCAAGGGAAAGGGGUUCAAUGCAAUCAUAGGCCUCGACACAGAGCUGCACGCCACGUGCACAACUGCACCGAGUCCUAGGAUUGAACUCUGACCUCUCUGGACACUGACCCCUGGGAAAGCCAACCAAACUAGAUUGGACAAUUCCAAGGAACAAAAGAAUUUGGGGAACCUAUAUAUAUACCAUUUGGGGGAAAUCCAGGGGCAGGGAAAGAUGAUUGACAUCACUAUAGCUACAAAGAAAAUGGGAGUGUUCAAACUAUACUGACAGAAUACAAUCAAGCUAGGGAAAAGAAUCAUAGCUAGAGGUGAGGGUGUAAGGGAAGGGGCUGCUUCCAAUGGAUACUAAAGGAUGGUUCCUACUCUGGUGUGGAUCUUCUUGGGAAAAGGGUCUCUGAUACAAUAAGGGAGACUACCUAAGACAAAGAGGGUCCUUAGUAUAUGCUGGUCCCACCCAACUAAGAUUGUUAUUCACUUGAGGGUCCAUUAUUCAGUAUGAAACUGCUAUCUGGAGAUCCCCUUCAGGGUGGAUUCCCAUGGCAACAGGGAACAAGUACAAACUUUGAAGUCUCCAACCUACAGGCUAGUCCUGAAACCUGGGGUUCACCAGAUCCCACUAGGCCACAAGUUUGGGAUUUCUAGAUUCCAUAUUGACACCUUGGAUAAGUCAUUUAACCUCUCUAGGACUCAGUUUUCUCAUUUGUAGAACAUGGGAGUUAGACAAGAUGGCCCUUCCAGUUCUAGAUCUAUGAUCUUGUGACUUUGGGCCAGUCACCUAACCUCUCAGAUUCUAAAUUUGCUCAUCUGUAAAAUAAGGAGAUUAAACUAGAUGAAUCUUGAGAUUCCUUCCAGUCUAAAGAUCUUUUUUGGGUCACAAGAUAGCGUCUUGUCUAAGGGGAUAGUUUUCUACCUCCAGGUAUGGAGUAUGUGCUUCACCUUUGGAUGGGAAUGGACACAUUUUAUAGUACCAAGCAGGUCAAGUUGGAAAUGAGUCUGCCAUUGAUUGGCCUUUCCACUCUAGCCAUCUCUCCCCAUAGUAAUUAACUUGUAAAACAAGUCGUUGUAGUUGUAUAAUCAGCAGCCAGGGGAAAGGUAAAGAUCCUUGUAUUUACUAAAUGCCAAGUCAUUUGCUCCCAUGUUUUCCUACUGGGUGGUAACCAGGGUUCUAUUGUACUGACAUGCCACUUGGGCAAAGGUGUGAGGGAUGGUGUACCCCUGUUGCAUCUUGUUUCAUACUUAAUGCUGUGACCCAGGAAAAAAACAACUCUGUGACUCAGUUGGAUUUGAUGACCUCUAAGGUCUUUUCUAGCCCUUAACCUAUCACCUGAUUUUCUAAAUUUGGAAACUGAGACUGAGAGAGAAGUGAUUUGUCUAGGGUUGUGUAACUAGUAGGUUUCAGAAGUGGGAUUCAUGACUGGGUUCAGCCCUCUAAUCUACUACACCAACCAAAUGAUAAGGUCUGUAAUCCAUGCCUCAGGGGUUGCUGUAGGGCUCACAGGAGACCAAGCCCACCUGGGAAAACCCUCUAAAAGAAAGAGUGGCUCUAUCCAACUUGCCCAGGGGCUUCCUCCAGGUGAUGCUUUGUGCAGAUCUGAACAACUUUUGACCUGGUAGGAGUCAGUGAAAGGAGUCAGUGUAAAGAAGAGCUCUGGAGCAUCUGCCUGCAAUCUCUCUUUGUGACCAUAAGUCACCCCUUCCUGGGGAUUUAGGGCCUCAUCUUGAAGUCAGGGAGUUGGACUAGAUAAUCUUUCCCAUCCUAUGAUCGAUCUCUGACAAGUCCAUAUGGACACUCUAGGCCCCGUGAGGCAAAAGCAACCAGAAAGACGUAUUUGCAGAUUUGGUUCAGACCCUGGCAAAGACCAGCCUUAACAGUGUAGUUCUACAAAUCAAUGUCUAAGAACUCCUGGCUUUCUUAAUUGACUCAGGACAUCCAGAGACAAAAUGGCCUUCUUCAUAUCAGCUAUGUCCUAAUGCUUUGACAUUCUAAAGAAAUUCUUAUGGU